UGGGGAAUAUUGGACAAUGGGCGCAAGCCUGAUCCAGCCAUGCCGCGUGAGUGAUGAAGGCCCUAGGGUUGUAAAGCUCUUUCACCGGUGAAGAUAAUGACGGUAACCGGAGAAGAAGCCCCGGCUAACUUCGUGCCAGCAGCCGCGGUAAUACGAAGGGGGCUAGCGUUGUUCGGAUUUACUGGGCGUAAAGCGCACGUAGGCGGACUUUUAAGUCAGGGGUGAAAUCCCGGGGCUCAACCCCGGAACUGCCUUUGAUACUGGAAGUCUUGAGUAUGGUAGAGGUGAGUGGAAUUCCGAGUGUAGAGGUGAAGUUCGUAGAUAUUCGGAGGAACACCAGUGGCGAAGGCGGCUCACUGGACCAUUACUGACGCUGAGGUGCGAAAGCGUGGGGAGCAAACAGG
rnacentral:rRNA from 1 species